CAUGAACUUCUCCUCCAUCUGUUGCUUCAGGGCGUCCAUUUCCCCAGACUCUCCCAAGACCCUUUUCGUGAAUGCGAACAAAAUGUCGAGACAGUGGAUCCUGUCCCCACUGACCAUGGUUGUCAAUGAUGACGCCAAUGAAGAGAUUCAAGGUGAAGAAUGAUCCAAAGAUGAUGAAGACCACAAAGUACAGAGAAAAGAGGAAGAAGAAUGUCUUUAUUGUCGUUGUGCUGGUGGUAACGCGGUUUAACUUGCAGGUA